CCUACGGGUGGCAGCAGUGAGGAAUAUUGGUCAAUGGACGCAAGUCUGAACCAGCCAUGCCGCGUGCGGGAUGACGGUUCUAUGAGUUGUAAACCGCUUUUGUACGGGGAUAAACUCUGAUACGUGUCCUGUUUUGUAUGUACCUUAUGAAUAAGGAUCGGCUAACUCCGUGCCAGCAGCCGCGGUAAUACGGAGGAUCCGAGCGUUAUCCGGAUUUAUUGGGUUUAAGGGGUGCGUAGGCGGUUUGUUAAGUUAGAGGUGAAAUGUCGGGGCUCAACCCCGAAACUGCCGUUGAUACUGUGGGGCUAGAGAAUGGUUGCGGUAGGCGGAAUGUAUGGUGUAGCGGUGAAAUGCUUAGAGAUCAUACAGAACACCGAUUGCGAAGGCAGCUUGCCAAGCUAUAACUGACGUUGAGGCACGAAAGCGUGGGGAGCAAACAGGAUUAGAUACCCUAUUAGUC
rnacentral:rRNA from 1 species